UACGAAGGGAGCUAGCGUUGUUCGGAAUCACUGGGCGUAAAGCGCACGUAGGCGGGUGUGUCAGUCAGGGGUGAAAUCCCGGAGCUCAACUUCGGAACUGCCCUUGAUACAGCACGUCUUGAGUCCGGAAGAGGUGGGUGGAAUUCCUAGUGUAGAGGUGAAAUUCGUAGAUAUUAGGAAGAACACCGGUGGCGAAGGCGGCCCACUGGUCCGGUACUGACGCUGAGGUGCGAAAGCGUGGGGAGCAAACAGG
rnacentral:rRNA from 1 species